CAUGUGCCUAUCGUCCCAGCUACUCAGGAGGCUGAAGUGGGAGGAUUAUUUGCGCCCAGAAAUUUGAGGCCACAGUGUGGUAUAUCAUCUGUCAAUAGCCACUGCACUACAAACUGGGCAUCCUAGCAAGAACCUGUAUCUCCAAAAAAAAAAAACUUGAAAAGUGAUUAAGACUAUCCACGUGUUUUUUCUUACUGUUUCUGUCUACUUCCUAAUCUGCAGAUCUGCAAAUGGAAUAAAUGCAAAUGGGAUAAAUGCAAAAUGGAAUAAAUGUCUGGCAGAAGUCAGAAUCUGGAAUUUUUACCAAUUUUGUCCAAUUUAAUUUUACAGUCAACUUGAUCAGCUACUGAGGUGUGUUGGAAGUCAUAGCCACAAUAUUUUGCAGCUCCUCCCAUCAAGGUAGUGUUUGUUUUCCCAGCCCUAGUAUUUGAGCUGGCCUUGUGCCUUGCUUUAACCAAUAAAAUGAGCAGAUGUGUUUCUGGGCUGGUUCUGAGACCUUAAGAGACCUUCUGCUUCAGUCUCUUGGGGUCCUGCUGGCAUGUAAAGAAGCUCAGGCUAAGCCAUGGACGGAUGAGAGACCACGUGGGGAGAUUCCCAACAAGUCCCAACCCACAUCACAUGGAAGAAAGUCAUACAGCAGCGCCCUCAUGCAGAAUGGUGGACCCAGAUGCACAUAACUUGCAAAGAAAUUGUCUGAAAGGAGGUGGCCGUCAGUCAGAGUGAAGAAGGUACCCUUUUCAGACUGUUACAUGAAUUUUAAAUUCCAACACUUUGGGCAGCUGAGGUGGGAGGAUCACUUGAACCCAGAAGUUCAAGACCAGCCUGGGCAACAUAGCGAGACUCCAUCUCUGAAAAAGAAAAAAAAAUUAGUGGGACAUGGUGGCGUGCACCUGUAGUCCCAGCUAGUCAGGAGGCUGAGGCAAAAUAAUCACUUGAGCCCAGGAGGUCAAGACCGCAGGGCGUCAUGAUUGUGCAAUGCAGUCCAGCCUGAGCAACAGAAUGAGACCCUGUCUGAAAACAAACCAACCAACCACUUCUAGAAGCACUUGCAUAUAGUGAAGAAUUCAUAAUUGAGUGGCAGAGAGACAGAUUAUGAGGCAUCCUUCCUGAUGGAGUGUUUUAUAGGAAAGGUAAUGUGGCUCUGGAACUAGCGGCUGUAGGGGCUGGCUUCCGGAUCCUGGCAUCAACAGCAUGUUUUGAUAGCCCAGGUCUAUAAAGUGGAUUUGUGAGUCACUCCUGAAGCUCAGCCUGUACACUGUUUCUUUUUUCUUUUUUUUUUUUUUUGAGAUGGAGUCUCUCUCUGCCGCCCAGGCAGGAGUAUAGUGGCACGAUCUUGGCUCACUGCAACCUCCGCCUCCCGGGUUCAAGCAAUUCUCCUGCCUCAGCCUCCUGGGUAGCUGGGACUACAGGCGAGGGCCACCACACCCAGCUAAUUUUUGUAUUUUUAGUAGAGACAGGGUUUCACCAUAUUGGCCAGGCUGGUCUCAAACUCCUGACCUUGUGAUCUGCCCACCUCGGCCUCCCAAAGUGCUUAUACGCUGUUUCUUUAAUCUGACAAAUUUUAUGAUAUACCAUGUAAUAAGUCCCUUUUGGCUUAAACCAGCUAAGGGUAGAUUUUACCUCUGCGUUGAACCCAGACCAAUGCAUCUCCUCUAAGAAAAAUUAUUGUCAAUAAUUCUCAAACAAUCGCCUCUCUAAUUUAAAAAGCAAAGUAAAUUCAGUUAACUUGUUAACAAUUUCCUGAGUUCAUAAAACACAUAUUCCAGGAAGAUAAGCCUUUUUUCAAACAAAGAAUUCAUAGAGCUAUUUCACAUUUACAUUGUCUAAACUUUCUAAAAAUAAGUGUUUUUCAGACAUUUAAAAAUUAAUCCAGGCAGGGUGUAGGGGCUUGUGCCUGUAAUCCCAGCACUUUGGGAGUCUGGGGCAAGAGGAUUGCUUGAGCCCAGGAGUUCAAGACCAGCAUUGGCAAGAUAGUGAGACCCUGUCUCUACGAAAACAUUUUUAAGGCUUGGUGCAGUGGCUUAUGCCUGGAUUCCCAACACUCUGGGAGGCUGAUGCAGGUGAAUCACUUGAGGUCAGGAGUUCAAGGGCAGCCUGGCCAACAUGGCAAAACCCCAUCUUUACAGAAAAUAAAAAAGUUAGCCAGGCGUGGUGGCGCACAUCUGUAAUCCCAGCUACUAGGAGGCUGAGGCAGGAGGUAGAGGUUGCAGUGAGCCAAGAUCACACCACUGCACUCCACUCCAGCCUGGGCAACAGAACGAGACUCCAUCUCAAAAAAAAAAAAUGUUUUUUAAUUAGCUGGGUUAAUUUUUUAAUUAGUCUCUAGUCCCAGCUACUCAGAAGGCUGAGAUGGGAGGAUCUCUUGAGCUUGGAAGCUCAAGGCUGCAGUGAGCCAUGAUCAUGCCACUGCAUUCCAGCCUGGGUGACAGAGUAAGACCUUGUCUCAAAAAUAAAAAUAAAAAUUAAUCCAUGUUUAUUAAGACAAUUUUUAAGAUGAUUUUUGAAAGGUAAUUUACGUUAUCUCAGCAAAAUUUUCAAUAAUGUGAACUACAAGGCAUAAAUCUUUAGCAAAAAGAUUUUUAUUCAAUAUUUUAUUAUCAAACAUUCAAACAGAAAAGUUGAAAGAAUUAUACAGUGGGCCAUAUCAUAUAAUAUACUCAUCAUCUAGAUUCUACAAUUAACAGUUAUUUUUAUCACAUGUCUAAUGAUCUAUGCAUCACUCUAUUCAUCCAUUAAUUCAUUUUUGUUUAUAUAUUUCAAAGUGAUUUGCAAACAUGAGUACACUUCACACCUGAACACUUUAGCACAGCAAAAGGAUUUUUUUCAGGUAUAGUAUUUGUCCACUGGAGGGCCUCCAAAUGCCAUAAAAUGCAUUAAAAGUAAGUUCAUCUGUAGUCCCCAAGAACUGGAGAAGGUCCAGGGAAGGAGAUGCAUGGAGUGUAAAUUGCAUCAAUUAGGGCAAGAGACUCAAUCUGAAAUCCAGAAAGAAGAUUUCAACAUUUUUUAUCUUUACCCUCAGAAUUUCUCUUCCUCUUUUUACAGCUACUUUCAUUGUAAAGGAGAAAAUAUAUCACAGGCCUCUCUCCCCAACAAAUGAUUUGAGCUCUUGAAGGUAGCAAUUCUUUAGACCAGAAACUCAGGAAACUUGAAGUCAAGAUGUUGUUAUAUUUGUGGAAAUGAGUUGAUGACAUAAAUUAAAUGUUUGUUAGUUUGUUGAUUGUUAACUCUCCACGAGGACAGGGAUUUAGUUAUCACUUGUCCCCAGAAUGUAGACAGACACUCGUUGGAACAUACUAGUGCUCAAUAAAUAUUUACUGAAGAAA